AGGGGGAUAGCUCAAGUGGUAGAGCACAUGCUUAGCAUGCACGGGGUCCUGGGUUCAAUCCCCAGUACCUCCU
rnacentral:tRNA from 1 species